GGUAUGAAUGGCUAAACGAGAAAUAGACUUUUUUUGUUAUAAAAAUUGAAUUUAAUUUUUCAGUGAAAAAGCUGAAAUUAUUUAGAAAGACGAGAAGACCCUAUAGAGUUUUAUGAUUAAAAAUUAUAAUUUAUAAUAGAUUUUUAUUAGAUUAUAAAAUUAAAUCAUUUUGUUGGGGCGACAUUAAGAUAUAAAAAACUCUUUAUUUUAAAAAUUUUUAUGGAAAGUUAUAUUGAUCCUCUAUAAGAGAUCAAAAGAUAAAAUUACCUUAGGGAUAACAGCGUAAUCUUUUUUGAGAGUUCUAAUCGACAAGAAGGUUUGCGACCU
rnacentral:rRNA from 1 species